rnacentral:rRNA from 1 species
CCUACGGGUGGCUGCAGUGAGGAAUAUUGGUCAAUGGGCGCGAGCCUGAACCAGCCAAGUAGCGUGAAGGAUGACUGCCCUACGGGUUGUAAACUUCUUUUAUAAAGGAAUAAAGUGAGGCACGUGUGCCUUUUUGUAUGUACUUUAUGAAAAAGGAUCGGCUAACUCCGUGCCAGCAGCCGCGGUAAUACGGAGGAUCCGAGCGUUAUCCGGAUUUAUUGGGUUUAAGGGGAGCUUAGAUGGGUGGUUAAGUCAGGUGUGAAAGUUUGCGGCUCAACCGUAAAAUUGCCAUUGAUACUGACAGCCUUGAGUACAGUUGAGGUAGGCGGAAUUCGUGGUGUAGCGGUGAAAUGCUUAGAUAUCACGAAGAACUCCGAUUGCGAAGGCAGCUUACUAAACUGCCACUGACAUUGAUGCUCGAAAGUGUGGGUAUCAAACAGGAUUAGAUACCCGUGUAGUC